CUCUGCCAACAAAAAGCUGGAAGGUAAGCUUCGGAUCUUUUUAGUUCAGAGUCUCACCUUAUUGAUGCUGCAAGAUUUGACAGGUACGUCUUGUAAUAGUUAAUCCUGGGCUGAUCAUCCAGCUGUUGGGCCAACGGACUGGAACUGUUGGUAGUAUCACUGAUCCCUGUGAAUAAAGAGAAACAAGCUUGCUUCUACUGCAUCAGCUCGCCAGGUACGUACCAUUUUCAGUGAUAUAGAUUAUUGGAUUGCGGUACUUAUCCUUGAUGUAAUUCAUCAGCCUCCUGAUCCCGUACGGUACGACGUAGAAGCCAUUGAUAUUCCUCCCGAUCAACACGCCCUUCUUCUUGUCUGCGAGAAGACGAACGAGAGAGCUGGAAUGAGAGGAAUCCAUUUCUAGGCCCACCUAGGAACGCAAAGUCGACGUCCUUGUAGUAAGCCGGGUGGUAGAUGGCUUGGCGCUGAUUGAGGAGGUUUCCCUGGACAAAGGUACGGUUUGGAUUGUCUUUCACGUAGAGGCUGAAGUAGUGAUUGAUGCCAAUGAAAUCAGAGGUGCCUUGGAGCCAUUUCUUCUCCUCGGCUGUGAAUUUUGGGAGCCUGCUUCCAACGUUUGCGACCAACGCUGGUGGAUACUCCCCAUACGUGACGGGAUGGAGCAUCCUGGACGCGAACAGAGUAAAGUUUUUUCGUAAGUUUAUAGAGAUCAGGGUUCUUACCAUCCGAGAUUGAACUGCCGAGCUCUUUCGGCGGCAGCUUUGUCUUGCUUGGAGUUUGAAACAGGUUCGUACCACAAUGUGUCGAGCGUGAGACCGAUCGUCCCUUUCUGACUAGCCUGCGAUUGUUUUCGUCAAGUUGAGGUAAUCUUUUAAGACUUUUUAAUUUUUCUGGUGUACCUUGUAUCUUUUGGUGUAGAUCUCGAUCGCUUUCGCAUGGGCGAGGAGUAAAUGGUGGCCUACGACGUAUGGCUCCAUGGACGAGUCUCCUCCCGUGCAGUUUCCGAU
rnacentral:lncRNA from 1 species